ACGAACGCUGGCGGCGUGCCUAAUACAUGCAAGUCGAGCGGAAUGAUGAAGAAGCUUGCUUCUUCUGAUUUUAGCGGCGGACGGGUGAGUAACACGUGGGCAACCUACCUUGUAGAUUGGGAUAACUCCGGGAAACCGGGGCUAAUACCGAAUAAUCCAUUUUGCUUCAUGGCGAGAUGUUGAAAGACGGUCUCGGCUGUCACUACAAGAUGGGCCCGCGGCGCAUUAGCUAGUUGGUAGGGUAAUGGCCUACCAAGGCGACGAUGCGUAGCCGACCUGAGAGGGUGAUCGGCCACACUGGGACUGAGACACGGCCCAGACUCCUACGGGAGGCAGCAGUAGGGAAUCUUCCACAAUGGACGAAAGUCUGAUGGAGCAACGCCGCGUGAGUGAAGAAGGUUUUCGGAUCGUAAAACUCUGUUGUAAGGGAAGAACACGUACGAGAGUAACUGCUCGUACCUUGACGGUACCUUAUUAGAAAGCCACGGCUAACUACGUG
rnacentral:rRNA from 1 species